GGAGUCGGCCAGACAGUCGCGUCAUUCCUUCGGGAAUGCCGAGGAAAGUCCGGGCUCCACAGGGCAAGGUGCCAGGUAACGCCUGGGCGGCGAGAGCCGACGGAAAGUGCAACAGAAAGAUACCGCCUACGUCCCUCGUCACCCCAUUGCGGCCUCAUGACCGCAACUGGCGAUGCGAAUGCAUCGCCCAAGUGGUCCGGAAGGACGCAACGGGGUGGCGAGGGGCCGGUAAGGGUGAAAUGGUGCGGUAAGAGCGCACCGCGAGUCUGGCAACAGACCGGUACGGCAAACCCCACCUGGAGCAAGACCAAAUAGGGACCUCAUGACGUGGCCCGCGUCGGGUCCGGGUAGGUUGCUUGAGCGUCACGGUGACGUGGCGCCUAGAAGAAUGACUGUCCACGACAGAACCCGGCUUAUCGGCCGGCUCCGCCG
rnacentral:RNase_P_RNA from 1 species